ACUGUUAUAGCAACAACCUACAGAAGAUGGAAGCAGAAGAAGAAAAUGAGUCCUUGAAGGAAUGAAUGAUGCAAAAUAAACAAGUCAGUGUAAAGCAUAAGAGAAUUUACCAGCACAUUAUAAUGUGUUAAAAUCAAGACAUAAAAAUAUCCUGAAAUACACAAGAGCAUGAAAAUAUGUUGUUUUUGCACUUGUUAUGUCCUCUUUGUUCUCUAAAUAUUCCCAUAUGCUACCAAAGUAAGGAGCCACUUUUUUUGUACUUGAGCUACAUAUUUUUGUUUUGUGCAUGUCAUUUACUUCUAGCCUAGCAUUAUUCUUUUGGUUGUGAAAAGGAUUAUGCUCUGUUUAUUUUACUCUGUUUUUCGGGUAGUCCUCUACUGGUUAGCAGGAAAUGGGAGGAUACAUUAGAAUCCAAGAACCAUUCAGAUACAGCCAAAGUUCUCAAAGCAGGAAAAUGUUGCUCCAUGACUAUUGUUAGGCAACGCAGUGCGUAUUCCAAAGAAUUUGUGAAGAAAAUGUUGGAUCUACCAACAAAUAGAAAGAAAAGAUGAGAAAGAAAUUAAGAAAAAAACACAGAUGUGACGCAGAUAACCACAAAUUCAUCAAGGCAAUGAAACUUGACACUCAGGAUCAAACUUGAAAGAUGCAAGAACAAGAUUGGCCACAUAGACCAAGGGUUUAAGGCACCAAAAGCUAAACUAAGGACGGACCCUUCAACCAAGAAGGCUUUUUGAAGGAACAAAAAACAUUUCUGAAGACAUUUCUCUCCUAGAAUCAGAAGGCAAACAUUUGAACGCGAAACAGGAAAUACUCGAAGGAAAGA
rnacentral:lncRNA from 1 species